GAUGAACGCUGGCGGCGUGCCUAACACAUGCAAGUCGAGCGAACGGACGAGAAGCUUGCUUCUCUGAUGUUAGCGGCGGACGGGUGAGUAACACGUGGAUAACCUACCUAUAAGACUGGGAUAACUUCGGGAAACCGGAGCUAACACCGGAUGAGAUGUUGAACCGCAUGGUUCAAAAGUGAACGACGGUCUUGCUGUCACUUAUAGAUGGAUCCGCGCUGCAUUAGCUAGUUGGUGGGGUAACGGCCUACCAAGGCAACGAUGCGUAGCCGACCUGAGAGGAUGAUCAGCCACACUGGAACUGAGACACGGUCCAGACUCCUACGGGAGGCAGCAGUGGGGAAUCUUGGGCAAUGGGCGAAAGCCUGACGGAGCAACGCCGCGUGAGUGAUGAAGGUCUUCGGAUCGUAAAGCACUGUUGUUAGGGAAGAACAUAUGUGUACGAAUCUGUGCGCAUCUUGACGGUACCUGAUCAAAAAGCAACGGCUAACUACGUG
rnacentral:rRNA from 1 species